AUACGUAGGGGGCGAGCGUUGUCCGGAGUUACUGGGCGUAAAGGGUGCGUAGGCGGCCCAUUAAGUCAGGUGUGAAAAACCCUGGCUCAACCGGGGUAUUGCACUUGAAACUGGUGGGCUUGAGUGCAGGAGAGGGAAGUGGAAUUCCUGGUGUAGCGGUGAAAUGCGUAGAUAUCAGGAGGAACACCAGUGGCGAAGGCGGCUUCCUGGCCUGUAACUGACGCUGAGGUACGAGAGCGUGGGGAGCAAACAGGAUUAGAUACCCUGGUAGUCCACGCUGUAAACGAUGGAUACUAGGUGUAGGGGGCGAUUGAGUCCUCUGUGCCGAAGUUAACGCAAUAAGUAUCCCGCCUGGGGAGUACGGCCGCAAGGUUGAA
rnacentral:rRNA from 1 species